GUCCUGACCAUGCCAUACAGCGUCUCCACGCGCUGGAGAAGCUCCUUGCCGGGCGUGUUGGGGGCCUUGAGCUGGCCUCCGCCGUUCAAGCAGCCUGUAGCAGAGCAAGACAGCCCUUCCCACUGACCUCAGGGGUCUGUAGGUGAUCUCGUCCACGUGGAUUCCAAAGAGCUCCCGGGCUGCGUGCUGGAACACGUGCUCCAGGUAGCCCCCUGAGCCCCCGCCCCGAUGGCUGCUGGGCUCCUGGGCAGACACACUGCUGCACCUGGGGAGCAGAGCAUGGCCUCGGUGGCAGCGGGAGCUUUCGGGUGACCUUUUGUCUCUCCCAUGUGAGGGAGCUGCUUGCUAGAUGGGAGAGGAGUCCAGAACCCCCAGGGCCUUUGUCUGCGUGUCAAGAGGAAGCUCAGCUUGAAGACUUCUCCUACAAUAAGACCCCAGCACAGGGGCGCUUCAGCUGAGAUCUCAAUCAAAACAGAACGCUGAGGAAACCCGCAUCAUCUGCAUCCCUGGCAACCUGUACCUUAGCUCCAGAGACCCAGAUGUCCACCUCCUGGCUUAUGGGUGGAGGGCCAACCUGGCCACUGAGGCGAGGAAGGACUCCACUUCUGAGGACCCUCACAAGAGCCAGCCAGCUCCCCAGACCCGCAGCCCACCCUCCACCCUCCCAGCAGCGUGGCGGGGGGUGGACGUACCCAUCCCUGGACCUGCCGCGGUGCGGUCGUGGCUCCCCAUGAGGUGGAGAGGGGCGGGCAUGUGUUCAUGCAGGGAGGCCCCCCAUCCCCGCCGCCACUGUCUGGGUUCCUGAGCAUUUUCUUUUCUGUAUUUUAAGCACUUGGGAGACUGUGAGGCUGCUCAAUUCAAAAAUGGGGUGACUGGCCCAUGUGAGUCAGAGUGGAAGACGAGAAUCCCCACCCGUCUCUUCAUGCAGACUGUUUUAGAGCAAACACCCGGCCCUUUGGCCACACGUCCCCCAAGACAAUGGAACAGCCGUGAGGUCUGAUCUGGCACCCAGGGGAGGGCCACCGGCUGCCUCAUGCAUAGGGGCUGGCAGCUGCAGCCAGAGCCUGCGGGCAGGACCCGGGCAAUACCACUACG